CUGGGAUCUAUUAACUUUAAACUCAGCAUGCUGUGUUCAAAGGGAAGGAUUUCACUUUCAGGGACUUGGGUUCAGGUUUGUUUUUGUCAAAAUGCUUCAGCUAUGAAGAAGCAGCACUGGAUGCUUGACCUUUGAAGUUCAUCAGACAGCUGCUGGACGUCCCACCAGGUUCAGCCCACCCUCAGAGCGGAAAGCUGAGAGGAAUAAAAACCCAAAUCCGGUUCUGACCGGCUCCGGCAGCUGGCAGAGAAGACCGUCUACUUCCGAUGGAGGCUUCAGGAAAUGGGCUUCAUCAUCUACGGGAACGAAGACUCUCCCGUUGUACCCAUGAUGCUCUACAUGCCCGCCAAGAUAGGAGCCUUCGGCCGCGAGAUGCUGCGGCGAAACAUUGGCAUGGUCGUGGUGGGCUUCCCGGCCACGCCCAUCAUCGAGUCGGGGGCACGCUUCUGCAUCUCUGCAGCUCAUUCCAAAGAACUGCUGGACCAGG